GUCUCUGUAGCGCAAUGGACAGCGCAUUGGACUUCCUAUCCAAAGGUCGUCGAUUCGAAUCCUACCUGGGAUG